UUUUUUGUCUUGAUGUAAAAUUCUAUUAUAUGAAGUACAAUUUUGAAAGUUAGUAACUCACGAGAUCAUGACACGUGUCAAUUUUUUCACGAUCUUAGAUUUUUGACACGUGUAAAAUAAAUUUUCCUUUAUUUAUUUAGAAAAAGUAUUUAUAAGGAAAUUAAAUUUAUAUAUAUAUA
rnacentral:sRNA from 1 species